GGAAUAUAAGAACCCGUUUCUUAACUUUUAAUUAAAAAAACUAAAAACCGGCUCUUAAAUAAGAGUUUUAAGAACCGGUUCUUAAUUCUUUUAGUUAAAAGUUAAGAGACGGGUUCUUAUAUUUC
rfam:Brassica napus, WGS project CCCW01000000 data, contig: 4189